rnacentral:sRNA from 1 species
UUGAAGGCGUGGAGACUGAAGUCCUCUGGUAUAUCCACAGAACAGGUAUGGCACAGGCAGCGGCAGUGCAGCUUUUCCACUGUCCCACCAAUGUGCCUCGGUCCUAGCCUAGGGGGAAUAUGUUCAGGGUAAGAGGGCUGUUCAGUCUCCAUGCCCUUCAAUCUGUGGCUAUU